GACGUAGGAGACGAGCGUUGUCCGGAUUUACUGGGCGUAAAGCGCGCGCAGGCGCCCCCGCAGGUCGGUUGUAAAAGCCCCCCGGCUCAACCGGGUGGAGGCGAGCGAAACCGCGGGGGCUGGAGGCUGGCAGAGGGUGGUGGGAUUCCCGGUGUAGUGGUGAAAUGCGUAGAUAUCAGGAGGAACACCGGCGGUGUAGACGGCUUUCUGGACCGUAGCUGACGCUGAGACACGAAAGCGUGGGUAGCAAACAGG
rnacentral:rRNA from 1 species